UGAUAAACCUUUAGCAAUAAACCAAAGUUUAAGCCAUACUAACCCCAGGGUUGGUCAAUUUCGUGCCAGCCACCGCGGUCACACGAUUAACCCAAGUCAAUAGAAACCGGCAUAAAGAGUGUUUUAGAUCAAUUCCCCUCAAUAAAGCUAAAAUUCACGUGAGUUGUAAAAAACUCCAGUUGAUACAAAAUAAACUACGAAAGUGGCUUUAAUGCAUCUGAACACAGAAUAACUAAGACCCAAACUGGG
rnacentral:rRNA from 2 species